rnacentral:rRNA from 1 species
UACGGGGGGGGCAAGCGUUGUUCGGAAUUACUGGGCGUAAAGGGUUCGUAGGUGGCCUGCUAAGUCGGACGUGAAAUCCCUCGGCUCAACCGGGGAACUGCGUCCGAUACUGGUGGGCUCGGGUGCAGGAGAGGAACGCGGAAUUCCAGGUGUAGCGGUGAAAUGCGUAGAUAUCUGGAGGAACACCGGUGGCGAAGGCGGCGUUCUGGACUGCAACUGACACUGAGGAACGAAAGCCAGGGGAGCAAACGGG